rnacentral:lncRNA from 1 species
GGUCAGGAUGUGCGUUAAGGCCUCGGUCCGUUGCGCCCAUGGGGGGGUGGGAAUGGGGCUGGGAGCGGUGGUCGGUGCUCGGCCUUGGGAUUUAGCGUCGGCCAUGGCGACGGCGGAGGAGGCGAACUGGCGAAGCCGGAGUGGACGGCGUCGGUUGCCCGGCGAGAGGAUAAAGAAAAGCCGUUCCGGCGGACACGCAAACGCAGAAUACGCCUUCUGUCUUGUUUUUCC